CUGUCUUAGAAAAUUUAAAUUUGUAUAUAAAAUUGGACAGGGAAGCAUGUGGCCUGGGGCUUUGGAUAGAGUAUAUCUGAGAAUGAGUGCAAACUCCCUGGCAUGGGGCUGAAAAAUGGAGGGUAGGAAACCUGGCCCAGGUUUGUUUGAGUCCUGGAUAAACGGCUGCCUGAAGUCCACCCUGGGGUUGUUCAGCUUCAUAAGCCAAUAUAUACUGUUUUUGCUUAAGCCAGUGUGGGCUGGGUUUUUAGUCUCUUGCCUAGGGAGGAGCCCUGACUGCCUCACGAAGCUGGCGCGCAGCAGGGCUGCACUCACGGCAGGGCUGACUAGCACCAGGGUCUGUGCAGCAGAAGAGGAAUUUAUUGAUGUGAGACCUGAAGGAUCAGGAGGAGAUAACAAGGCAAACUGGAAGGGAGAGAAGAUGCCCAGACAGAGAAAGAGCCAGAUGGGGAAACUGAGACCCAAAUUGAAGGGAGCAGUCGCCGAGUCAGCCAGUGACAGAGCUGGGGCUUCACUCCGCUUCUGGAUUCUCAGCUCCCAUCCUGGUCCCUCUGCCUUUUAUAGAGCAGCAUGGAAGGAAUCAAAAACAGGCAGAGGACUCCCGGGCGGCUCUGAACACUAGGUGCAGUGCCUCAGUUCCUCCAGCUGCCCCUCUCCCAGCGGGAGCUCACACUAGAUGGGUCGGGGCAGCUGAGGAGAGUGCUUUCAAUUCAACUGGAGAGAGAUCUGCCCUCUCCAGGAUAGGGAGAGCUUUCUGCCCUCCUCCUCAGGCCCUGGAGGCCGCAAGCCCGCCUGUCAGGGUCACCUGGGUGCUCUAAGAAGGGCUCCGCCUCCCUCCAGGGCGUCACCUGGACUGCCCAACUGGGCUGCCUCAUGGCCUUUGACCUUCAGAAUCCCAAGAUUCACCCACCUCAUCCAGAAGAAGGCGGGGAAAGGGGAGGCUGUGGAGACCCAUAAACCAGGGACUGACUCCUAACUGGCCACCUCAUAGCUUUGUGACCUUCCGCGAGUGGCCUGGUCUUCCUGAGGGAGUGUUACCAAGCUUCUCCCUUGUAUGGUUUUAGUGAGGGCUGGAGAUGAGGCUGUCAAUUCUUGGUGGCUGUUACUAUUAAAGCUGGCCAGGAUGUCCCUUCUGACCCUCACCCCUCCAGUUCCCAUAGCCUGUAAUCCCAGCACUCUGGAAGGCCAAGAUGGGCGGAUCACUUGAGGUCAGGAGUUCAAGACCAGCCUGACCAAACAUGAAGAAACCCCAUCUCUACUAAAAAUAGAAAAUUAGCCUGGCAUGGUGGCACAUGCCUGUAAUCCCAAGUUGGGAGGCUGAGGCAGGAGAAUUGAUUGAACCCAGGAAGCAGAAGUUGCUGUCAGCCGAGAUUGCACCAUUGCACUCCAGCCUGGGCAACAAGAGCGAAACUCUUGGCUGAUUCAUUUUCUCCCAAAACAUUGAUCACUGGUGGACGGACAAACUGCAGGGCACCCGUGUGAUGGAAUGACCUCAGCAAUAAAGAAGAACAAAAUAGUGAUACAAUGAAUGACAUGGACGACCCGCAUAGCACUGUGCUGAGGUUCAGCGGCAAAAUGAAAGCAGACUAACUCAAAAGGCUGCAGGCUCUGCCACUCCAUGUGCCUGAACUCCAGGGAGGGCCACGCUGUAGCUGGAAAGCAGGUCAGUGCUUGCCUGCGGUGGGAAGUGGGAGCAGGGAUUGAUUGCAACAGGGAAUGAGGGAGUUUUAUGGGGGGAUAAAAAAAUCAGUGUCUCAUUUGCUGGUAGGUAGGUAGGUGGCUAUUUCCAUUUGGCAGAGCUUAUCAAACUGUAUGCUUAAAAUAAGCAAAUUCAACAGUACACAAACCACACUGUAAUGAAGCUGGCAGGGUAAAAUCUUCCCAUUUGGAAAUUAUGAUCUGGAAAGUGACUAUAUUGCCUGGUCAUGUACACAAGAGAAGAGUUAUCUCCCUAGGAAACUUUUAAGAAAUGCUCAGUUCUUAAAAGAAAUAAGAAAUUGAGUGACCAGAGAAAAUGAGGAAGGAUUUGAAGAAAUACAGUACCAGGGCAUCAUAGAAGAGCUGGCUUGAAAUAGGCCAGAGAGGGGACUCAAGUCUUGGUGUAUUUGUACACUGCCUGAACUACCUGACCUUGGUCCCUUAUCUGAUAUCCUCUUUGUCCCUGGCUCUACCUGAAUAAAAGCUCACUCUUCUUUCAUAAAUAAUAAAAAGGCUAUCCUUCAAUGAGAUGACAUUUCUCUUUCCUGGCCCAGAACUCAGAAGGCGCCCAGCCCCUCUUGAGCCACCAGGCUCUUCUGCAGUGGAGUUUCUCUCCUCUGCUUGCUUCCAGAGCCUUCUGCAGGCUACCAAGACAAAGCUUUCUCACAUUCCUCUGGGCCUGGUCCUUCUGCUCUCUGCUGCUGCCCUCUCUGUCCCCGUCCCUCCUCCGUUUCCAGAAUGACAGCGUCUCCCAGCAGCUUUUGCUUUGGAGUCCUGGCUCCUCAAUUCAAGGUCAGCUUCUGAGAGCAGAAGCUCGUCCCAUUUUCUCCCCUUCCCUCUGCCCUCUCUCUUGGAAGCCCAGUGUGGGAUCCCCUCCCGGUGUUUUAGGAUAAAC
rnacentral:lncRNA from 1 species